AUGGCAGAUGGUGAUGGACAUCCGCGUCUGAUCAAUCUCCACCCAUAAAGUGGCGCGUGGGCGGGCUUCCACAGUCCUUCCUACCACCCAAUCCAGCGUAGUUGGCCAGAGACGUACCGUGUGUUACGAUGCCUAGCCAGUAGCCUUCGAAAAGGCGGUCCAUCCCCAAGACUAGACGGUUGACCGAGCUCAAAUCCCUGUCGAAGAUGGCUAAGAGACUCAUCUCAAGCUACGGGUGGUUGAAUCUAGGGCGUGGUGAGCGAUUUAUGGGCGGAUUCUUACGUUCAAGUUGGAGGGGACGUGUGGUGUUUUUCACUGAAUCAUGAGAGAACGGAGUCAAUGGGCAGAAUGACGUCAGGGUGACUAGGGCUUUGUGUGGCCACCGCAAAGAAAUAUAUGAUUUGCUUGAUGGAUUUGA